AACGAACGCUGGCGGCAUGCCUAACACAUGCCAGUCGAACGAGACCUUCGGGUCUAGUGGCGCACGGGUGCGUAACGCGUGGGAACCUGCCCUUAGGUUCGGAAUAACUCCCCGAAAGGGGCGCUAAUACCGGAUAAUGUCUUCGGACCAAAGAUUUAUCGCCUUUGGAUGGGCCCGCGUUGGAUUAGCUAGUUGGUAGGGUAAAAGCCUACCAAGGCGACGAUCCAUAGCUGGUCUGAGAGGAUGAUCAGCCACACUGGGACUGAGACACGGCCCAGACUCCUACGGGAGGCAGCAGUGGGGAAUAUUGGACAAUGGGCGAAAGCCUGAUCCAGCAAUGCCGCGUGAGUGAUGAAGGCCUUAGGGUUGUAAAGCUCUUUUACCCGGGAUGAUAAUGACAGUACCGGGAGAAUAAGCUCCGGCUAACUCCGUG
rnacentral:rRNA from 1 species